rnacentral:rRNA from 1 species
UACAGAGGGGGCUAGCGUUAUUCGGAAUUAUUGGGCGUAAAGGGCGCGUAGGCGGCCUUGCGUGUCUUUCGUGAAAUCCUCGGCCUAACUGAGGACGUGCGGAAGAAACUGCAGGGCUUGAGUCCGGGAGAGGGGGGUGGAAUUCCCAGUGUAGCGGUGAAAUGCGUAGAUAUUGGGAGGAACACCGGUGGCGAAGGCGGCCCCCUGGACCGGUACUGACGCUGAGGCGCGAAAGCGUGGGGAGCAAACGGG